GUCCGCAUAGCUCAGUAGGAUAGAGCACAGGAUUCCUAAUCCUGGGGCCGUUGGUUCGAAUCCAACUGUGGACA
rnacentral:tRNA from 1 species